UGUGGCCUACGGGAGGCAGCAGUGAGGAAUAUUGGUCAAUGGACGCAAGUCUGAACCAGCCAUGCCGCGUGCAGGAAGACGGCUCUAUGAGUUGUAAACUGCUUUUGUACGAGGGUAAACGCAGAUACGCGUAUCUGUCUGAAAGUAUCGCACGAACAAGGAUCGGCUAACUCCGUGCCAGCAGCCGCGGUAAUACGGAGGAUUCAAGCGUUAUCCGCAUUUAUUGGGUUUAAAGGGUGCGUAGGCGGUCGGAUAAGUUAGAGGUGAAA
rnacentral:rRNA from 1 species